CCCCCUAAUUGUGGGUGAUUUUAACAUACACGUGUGCUGCCCUUCUGAUCCUUUUCAUUUGGAUUUAAUGGAAUCCUUUAAUAUGACCCAAUCAUGUAAAAGGACAAACUCUGGACCUGGUACUUUCUUCUGGUUUUAAUGUUGAAAAUGUGGAUCUGAAUGAGGCAGGUCUAUAUGUAUUGGACCAUAAAGCCAUUACGUUGAACUGCCUCCUCACACAUCUGUCUUCCACAGUGCCAACAUCUGUGUCUUUAACAUUAACACAGUCAAAAACGUUGAAAAAUGCCUUUGCCACUGCCUUCGAAAAAAAUCUCCUUAAACCAAAUAUGGACACAAACGAUCUACUGAGCACCUUCAACAGCACCUGCUCCUCCAUUCUGUAGGCUACUCCAUAGCACCCCCCAAAAUAAAAAAAAUAAAAAAUUAAGCAAACUCUUAGACCUCCCUGGUUAAGCAGCACCACCAAAGAAAUAAAGCAACAAUGCAGAAAAGCAGAACGAAUAUGGAAGAAAGACCGCCUCACAGAAUCAUUUGAAAUCUUAAACAACUAAUUAUGGCAAUUUAUCACAAAGCUGUAAAACAAGCCUGGUCCUCCUUCUUCUCUGACAUUGUUCAAACAAACUACAAUAACACACCAAAUUCUCUUUAAAACUCUUCAUUCCAUUUUGAAACCUUCCUCAAACCUCCAGAAAGUGAACAAUCUUUAAAACAAAUGACUAACACAAUUCUUACAAUACAAUACAAUACCAAAGUUGCAGAGGAACAUUAUAUGAUCUGGCUCAUCACUACAACCCUUCUGCAUUUUGUACUCAUUUGAAACAUUCUCUCUUAGCACUGCACAUUAGAGGAAACCAUUCACAAACUGAAACCUGCAGAUGGGCUCCAUGCUGAAUUCCCAAAAGAGGUUUUUAACUGGUCCCAUAAUUGUAUCCAUUUUGAAUAGCUCAUUAUCCUCUGGUUGUCUCCCACCAUGCCUUAAGCAUGCAGCAGUCCAUCCAUUCAUCAAAGAUCCAAACCUAGACCUUCUGGAUUCCAAUUUCUAAACUACCUUUUUUAGCUAAGAUUUGAGAAGGUGGUUUACACAGAGUUGAUCUUCUUUUAUGAAUCUCAACAACAUAUUUGAUACAUUUCAAUCAAGUUUUCGGACACAACAAACGGCACUUAUCAAAGUCACAAAUGACCUUUUUAAUUUAAGCAGAUUCAGGGGACUGCUCCAUUUGAAUCCUUUUAGAUCUUAGCUCCGCAUUCGAGUUGAUCAUGUUAUCCUAUUAGAUCGUCUUGGAAAAUGGGUAGGCAUCGGGGACACUGCUCUCAAAGGGUUAAAAUCCUACCUAUCAGACAUUUUCUGUCUCGAUUGGGGAUAAUUCCGCCACUGCAGCGCCGCUAAACUGCGGCGUUCCCCAAGGUUCUAUUCUUGGUUCAUUAUUAUGUUCCAUCUACAUGCUGCCACUAGGGCAUAUCAUACAAAUACACAAUAUUCUAUAUCACUGCUAUGCGGAUGAUACACAAAUAUAUGUCCCUUUUUAAACUGCAGUGAUAAAAGCAAUGUGAACAAGCUCCUAUCUGGUUUAGAUCAAAUAAAGUGCUAGAUGGCCCAAAACUUUUUCCAGUUAAAUGACAAAAAAUCAGAGGUACUAAUUUUUGGCCAUUCUAAACCAGCCCCAUCUCUGUAAAUACAUCUGGGCUCCCUGUCCUCAGACAUACAAAAUCGUGAUUUUAUCAGUUACGUAUCAUUUAAAAAAAUUAAGUCCUUCAUCUCCCGGUCUGAUUUGGAGACAGUCAGCCAAGCUUUUAUAUCUUGUCUCGAUUACUAUAACUCCCUAAACUCUGGAUUAGGCCCAAAAUCAAUAUCUGGCCUUCAACUUGUGAAAAAUGCAGCAGCAACCAAAUACCAGAAGGCUGGACCCCAUCACCCCUGUUUGAGUCUCUCUUCACUGUGAAUCGGUCUGUUUUAGAAUUUAUUUAAAAUGUUACUGUUUUUUUUAAAAGCUCUUAACUGUUUGGCUCCUGAUUACCUCCCUGACUUGUUGGGCCCUUACGAGCCUGUGCUCAGUCUCAGAUCCUCGGGAGGGGCUUUGCUGGCUGAAAGUAAAUGGUGAAGGAGCAUUCUCCGUCAGAGCUCCUCAGCCGAUCUGAGGCUGGCAGAAUCAAUGAUAUCUUUUAAAUAAUUUGUUAAAAAUCAUUUUAUUAAAGCUUUUAACUAAUGAUGACACCACUCUGUUUUUCUUAACAUCCAGUUGGGCUGAACUCUGCUGUCCCCUGGGACCUGGGACUGGCUCAACGGCAAUACAAAUCACAUCUGCAUACGUUCCUUUGUGAUUGCUAUACUAAGUUUGAACUCUUUGAGGCGGCUUUUCCUGACGAAGCUCCAGAGCAGAGGGGUGACAGAUAGCAGAAACACAGAACACCUUCUAAUCCCUGCUCUUCCUGCUUUGACAAGUUGUAUUGGAGUACAGCCACACACACACACCUUUCCACUGUCAGUAGAUGUAAACAGAGUGGAGCUGUUCCACUGGACUUCCUGUGACAUUAAACAGAUUUCUGGUCCACACAGUGUCUGUAUCUCA